rnacentral:rRNA from 1 species
UUGGCUGAAUUGUGUCAGAAAGCUUGCUUGAUUCUUUGGGAUGAAGCUCCUAUGACACACCGUUGGUGUUUCGAAGCCCUUGAUCGGACUUUGAAAGAUGUUCUUUCUGUUGAAAAUAAGGAAAAUGCUCUGCUACCUUUUGGUGGAAAGGUUGUCGUGCUUGGUGGUGAUUUCAGACAGAUAUUACCGGUUAUAGAGGGUGGCGCGAGGGAUGAUAUCAUUAAUUCAUCUUUGAUUGUUUCUCCGUUGUGGCAACAUAUAAAAGUUUUGAAACUUCAUUGCAAUAUGCGUCUUCGAUGUCCUGGUUUAUCUCAUAAUGAAAGAGCAGAGCUUUCUGAAUUUUCUGAAUGGGUACAGAGUAUUGGAACUGGUUCUGUUCCUAUGCACUGUAAAGGCGAUGAAUAUGUGCCGUCUUGGAUUCAAAUACCUGGUGAUUUAUUGCUUCAUCCUAAAGCAGAC